GUCGAGCGAGAACCGUAGCAAUACGGGGACAGCGGCGAAAGGGACAGUAAUAUGUAGGUACCUACCUCCGGGUUCGGGAUAGCUGCGGGAAACUGCAGGUAAUACCGAAUAACGUCUCCGGACCAAAGGUGUGAUUCCACCUGGAGAGGGGCCUGCAUCCUAUUAGCUUGUUGGUGAGGUAACGGCUCACCAAGGCGACGAUGGGUAGCGGGUGUGAGAGCAUGACCCGCGUCAUUGGGACUGAGACACUGCCCAGACACCUACGGGUGGCUGCAGUCGAGAAUCUUCGGCAAUGGGGGAAACCCUGACCGAGCGACGCCGCGUGCGGGAUGAAGGCCCUCGGGUUGUAAACCGCUGUCGUAGAGGAGGAAGUGCAGGAGGGUUCUCCCUUCUGUUUGACCUAUUCUAGGAGGAAGUACGGGCUAAGUUCGUGCCAGCAGCCGCGGUAAGACGAACCGUACAAACGUUACUCGGAAUUACUGGGCUUAAAGGGUGCGUAGGCUGCGCGGAAAGUUAGGUGUGAAAGCCCUCGGCUCAACCGGGGAAUUGCAUCUAAAACUACCGUGCUCGAGGGAGAUAGAGGUGAGCGGAACUCAAGGUGGAGCGGUGAAAUGCGUUGAUAUCUUGAGGAACACCGGUGGCGAAAGCGGCUCACUGGAUCUCUUCUGACGCUGAGGCACGAAAGCCAAGGUAGCAAACGGGAUUAGAUACCCCGGUAGCCUUGGCUGUAAACGAUGAGCACUUGUUUGAAGGGUCCUCCAUAGCCUUUCAGACGUAGCGAAAGUGUUAAGUGCUCCGCCUGGGGAGUAUGGUCGCAAGGC
rnacentral:rRNA from 1 species